rnacentral:rRNA from 1 species
UACGUAGGGUGCAAGCGUUAAUCGGAAUUACUGGGCGUAAAGCGUGCGCAGGCGGUUGUGCAAGACAGAUGUGAAAUCCCCGGGCUUAACCUGGGAACUGCAUUUGUGACUGCACGGCUAGAGUGUGUCAGAGGGGGGUAGAAUUCCACGUGUAGCAGUGAAAUGCGUAGAUAUGUGGAGGAAUACCGGUGGCGAAGGCAGCUCGCUGAGACGUUACUGACGCUGAGACGCGAAAGCGUGGGGAGCAAACAGG